rnacentral:rRNA from 1 species
UACGGAGGGUGCGAGCGUUGUCCGGAAUUACUGGGCGUAAAGGGCGCGUAGGCGGUUCGUUAAGUUGCUGGUGAAAUCCCGGGGCUCAACUCCGGGGCUGCCGGCAAGACUGGCGGGCUCGAGCACGGUAGAGGCAGAUGGAAUUCCCGGUGUAGCGGUGGAAUGCGUAGAUAUCGGGAAGAAUACCGGUGGCGAAGGCGUUCUGCUGGGCCGUUGCUGACGCUGAGGCGCGACAGCGUGGGGAG